AUUGAACGCUGGCGGCAGGCCUAACACAUGCAAGUCGAACGAGCGGCGGACGGGUGAGUAAUGUAUGGGGAACUGCCCGAUGGAGGGGGAUAACUACUGGAAACGGUAGCUAAUACCGCAUACCAUCGGAUGAGCCCAUAUGGGAUUAGCUAGUAGGUGGGGUAAAGGCUCACCUAGGCGACGAUCCCUAGCUGGUCUGAGAGGAUGAUCAGCCACACUGGGACUGAGACACGGCCCAGACUCCUACGGGAGGCAGCAGUGGGGAAUAUUGCACAAUGGGCGCAAGCCUGAUGCAGCCAUGCCGCGUGUAUGAAGAAGGCCUUCGGGUUGUAAAGUACUUUCAGCGGGGAGGCGUUACUCGCAGAAGAAGCACCGGCUAACUCCGUGCCAGCAGCCGCGGUAAUUC
rnacentral:rRNA from 1 species